ACCACGUGGCUACAUCAAUUAAUUCUUUAUUGCUGGACUACUUUGGUACUACUGCUUUUAGUAAAGGUUGUGCAGGUAUAAACUUUCCAUUUCACAGACAUCCCAAAAACAAAGUGACUCUACUGCAAAAAAGAAAGACCUGAGGGAGGGAAUUAUGUCUCACUAAGGAUUGCAUCUGUAGCCCAGCACAGCACACUCAACAGGUAAGAUAUUCAACAAAUAUCAUUUGAUGAAACCAUUCGUGCAUUUUAUAAAUGUGUAUCGAUAAAUCAAUAUAUGUCACUUUUAUAGGUUGUGGGGCUAGACAAAAAAGAAGAAGAAAUCACUGUCCUCAUGGAAGUUAAAUUGUAUUGACAAAGGAAGAAAGUGUCAGGCAGGUUAACAAUUUAUUCUCUGUGGCUUCCUCCCGUCCUCUCCCUGAAACUGAGAUCCAGCCAAUCUGGACAUCUAUUCUGAGAGAGGCUCUGCUUUAAUGACUGCACCCAGCUGUCUACACACCAGGAGGGGAGGGGACUGCAUCCUGAGGCACCCCCCAAUGACCCACCCAUCAGCCAUAGGGGCUUCCAGCAACUGGGGCAUCAUCUCCUUCCCGUGGCUUUUCUAACUGGAAUCGGAACUCAGAAGGAUGAAGAAGAAGGAGGCAAUUACACCAGACAGACUGUACCCUGGAAAAUCCACCAUCCUCCCUGGAACAAACACAAGGAAACACUGUGCCCGAGACUGUGACAACCCAGCAUACUCCAUGGCUUCCACUGGUUGUGCAGUCUUAGCAGACAAUCUGCAUCAACCCCUUCACAGUCCAUGAAAUGGGCUUGGCUCCAUUUUUCUGCAAUUAUUGGUCACAUCCAACCCUUUUUCUAAUGUGUUAUAUUAUGAGACAAAGUAGCAAACGUAAGAAGCCAUGUUUGCUCAUUUCUUCUUGCUAGCAUACUUCCACAAAGCCCCUGAGUCUGUGAUGACCUGCAGCUCUCGGGAAAGAUGCUUUAAAGACAAACAAGAUUGAACACACGGCUUCCCAUUGUCUUGCCUGAGUCACUCUACUGCUUAAAAGAUAAGCAAUCAUAGCCCUUGUCUUUUCCUACACAUAAGAUAAUGUCUGAUUGAAGGAUACCUCUGCAACCUAUGACCAGAUCUGCUCAUACAUCCAAACGUUGAUGUAAUUUCGGUUCAAUGUAACUUCUGAGCUAGUUUGAUGCACUGAUUAAUAUGUAAACUACUGACAUCAAAAAGGAUAUGGAUUUGUUUCUGAAUCAUGAAGUUUUACUGAUUAUUUUGUGCAU